rfam:Leucobacter sp. Ag1 JX03_contig_56, whole genome shotgun sequence.
UGGGUCGGUGAGACGGUCGCGUCGCGUUCGCUUCGGCGGGCGUGCCGAGGAACGUCCGGGCUGCACAGAGGAGAACGGUGGGUAACGCCCACCCGGGGCAACCCGCGAGAAAGUGCAACAGAAAGCAGACCGACCGCUCCGGGCAACCGGAGCGGCACGGGUGAAACGGUGGUGUAAGAGACCACCGGCGUCCGUGGUGACACGGGCGGCCAGGUAAACCUCGUUCGCAGCAAGGCCAGACAGCAGGCGUUGAAGCUCCUCGCCGAGUCUGCGGGUAGGCCGCUAGAGGGUGUCGGCAACGGCACUCCGAGAGAGAUGACCGUCACCGCCGGUUUCGGCCGGCGGGACAGAACCCGGCGUAUGAUCCGGCCCAUUCU